rnacentral:rRNA from 1 species
UACGUAGGGGGCAAGCGUUGUCCGGAUUUAUUGGGCGUAAAGAGCGUGUAGGCGGCCAGACAGGUCCGUUGUGAAAACUAGAGGCUUAACCUCUAGACGUCGACGGAAACCGUUUGGCUAGAGUCCGGAAGAGGAGAAUGGAAUUCCUGGUGUAGCGGUGAAAUGCGCAGAUAUCAGGAAGAACACCCGUGGCUAAGGCGGUUCUCUAGUACGGUACUGACGCUGAGACGCGAAAGCGUGGGGAGCGAACAGG